AUUGAACGCUGGCGGCAGGCCUAACACAUGCAAGUCGAACGAGUGGCGGACGGGUGUGUAAUGUCUGGGAAACUGCCCGAUGGAGGGGGAUAACUACUGGAAACGGUCGCUAAUCCCGCAUACCAUCGGUAGCGCCCAGAUGGGACUAGCUAGUAGGUGGGGUAACGGCUCACCUAGGCGACGAUCCCUAGCUGGUCUGAGAGGAUGACCAGCCACACUGGAACUGAGCCACGGUCCAGACUCCUACGGGAGGCAGCAGUGGGGAAUAUUGCACAAUGGGCGCAAGCCUGAUGCAGCCAUGCCGCGUGUAUGAAGAAGGCCUUCGGGUUGUAAAGUACUUUCAGCGAGGAGGCGUUACUCGCAGAAGAAGCACCGGCUAACUCCGUGCCAGCAGCCGCGGUAAUAC
rnacentral:rRNA from 1 species